GCAGUUUUGAGUCAGAUCUUUAGAUUCAAGAGUAGACAGCAUAGUCUGGACACAGUGAUACAUGAUACAGGGCUGUCAGGGGAUGCAGGCUCCCACCUGCCUCACCUUUAGGUGUAUGGGUGAAGAGAGGAGUACAGGGUGGUGUAUUACUGCACCGUGCCUAGUGGAUAUCAGCAUUUACAAUGCAGCAAUCUGAUUGUUCCUUAUGUAGAUAUGCUUGGGUGUUUCAUGGCCCCUUGAGCUUCUUGUAGCUUCCUAUGUUUCAGCUCCCACAGGUGGUGGGUAUUGCAACACAGACCACAAAAUGAGGGCCAGGUGUCUAAAGUCUGUUCUCCCUUGUUGUAGCCCUUCCACCAGCAUGGACAGACUCUGAGAUAUUCCACUGAUGUCAUUCUCCUUUUGAACAUUUAUAAUUGUAUCUGAACAUCUAUGUUAAAACAGGAUGCUGGAAGGUCUGGAGAAGUUGUGUUGUAUUUUGGGGGGGGGGAUAUUGCUUAAAACUAGACAGGCUGAGUCUGUCAGAAUCAGGUGCACCCAGCUUUUGGAACAGCUGCGUGUAGGCUUAAAAGGUGCAAGAGAAAAGCGAGGCAUUGUAAAGCUCAGCUGAAGGUUGCUGACCUAAAAUCAGUUCUGGACUGGUGAGAAGACUUACUGGAUAGCUAACGUUGGUGAAAGAUGACUUUUCACACCAUCAAGGCCACUUUCUCAGCUUAUUGACAGCUUUAUGAGCACUGUUGGAAAAGCCCCAGCUUCCUUCGUUCCUCAGCUCCAGUUUUCCUUCGGGUGAGAGGGCUGGGAGGUCCCUGAGUUAUCGCACCUGGAUGUGUGUUACCUGCUGCUUCUCCACCCUUGAGGUGUAUGAUCAUAUCAGGACAACUGGUCAGGAUGUGCUACAGAGCAGCAUUUUCAGUCUUCUUGACUCAGCAGAAAAUGGCAUCCCAGCCCCAAAGCGUUGUGGUUGUCUGGAUACACGUUCACACAUUGCAAGGAUUCGACAGAAAAUCAGAGGAUCUCCUUUAAAGUCGUACCUUGGCCUGAACCAAGAGCCUGGGAUGUGAAGAUCCAUGUGGGUAACUGAAGUUCAUGAUGCAGUUUAACACAUAAAGCACAGCAGUGUGGAUGUCCUGAACUCAGAACACUUGCAGGUAAGAACACCCCUGGGUGCCUCCAUGGCUCUGCUGGCCUUAGGCUUUUCUGUUGAAUCCCCACCCCACGAGGCUCAGUGUGCAAGAGUUCCUGUGUGCAGCUGUAUCUGUGGGUCUGGAGCCUGUGGGAUUACCUUCCCUCUGCGGAGUUCUU
rnacentral:lncRNA from 1 species